AUCGUAUAGUUUUUGCAUGUGUGUUUCUGUGAUUUUCAUAAACUUGCUCGUUUUAGCUAUGAACUUGUGUUUCUGAUUCAAUGUCAAAGAAUCUCUUCAUUCGUCUGUUUUGGUAAUCUGAUCAAAAAUGUUAAUCAGAGCUUCUGCCAACUACAUCUGGUUUCAUUUCCUUAGCGCUUAAUGGUAGCUUGUAUCUUAAUGCAUGACAUCUAUGCUAGUGUAUCUUAAAUAGUGUAUCUUGGCUUGCGGUUCAGGAUAGAUUAUUAACGGGGGAACGUAUGCUGCAAUGGAACAGAGGCGUCUCAAGUUAUUGUGCGUUCUGCACAAACACUAUAGAGUCUCCCAACCAUCUUUUCUUCUCUUGUGUGUUACAGGGAAACCUGCGAUUCACAAGAACAAUCCAAAUCUCCAAUUAUCAUUCGAAACCAACAAUCAAUCGAUGUUCAUAAAACACCAAAUGAUUCAGCUAGCUCUCGAUGUGAGAGAAAUCUAGCACUUACAAAGGUUCUAGAGAAUUCUGAAGAUUACAGAUUAUUCGAUAAUGAAAGCAUGAGCAUAACAUGUUGCUCUUAUAUAAAAAGGUAAAGAAAGUAAACGUUAACCACGUUAAUAACGAUCGCCGUUAACGUCCAUUGCAUUGCCAGCUCGCCAGCUCGCCAGCUCACAAGUACUUUGCCUAACAUCCGACUUCACAUUGCCAGCUCGCCAGCUCGUCAGCUCACCAGCUCACCACACGUUAAUCCUGUAUCAAAUCUCCCCCCUUUCACAAAACCUUGACCUCAAGGUUCUAUGCUUCAAACUCAGGAAAUGUUUUCUGCAAAUCGAAGAGGAACUCCCAUGUAGCUUCUUCCAAAGGUUCAUUGCUCCAUUUCACCAACACUUUAGUGACAGCUUUUCCCUGACGAUUGACCAUUUUCCUUUCCACCACUUUCUCAGGUACUUUCUCAAAGACAUCUUGCAUCACUGAAGGCAAAUGAACUGUUGUAGAGACAUUGCCCACUAGCACCUUUAGCUGCGAAACAUGGAACACAGGAUGCACUUGAGAGUAAGAAGGAAGA
rnacentral:sRNA from 1 species